rnacentral:rRNA from 1 species
GUACGGGAGGCAGCAGUAAGGAAUAUUGGACAAUGGGCGCAAGCCUGAUCCAGCCAUGCCGCGUGAAGGAUGAAGGCCCUAUGGGUCGUAAACUUCUUUUAUACGGGACAAAACCCCCCGAUGCGUCGGGGGUUGAUGGUACUGUAAGAAUAAGGGUCGGCUAACUUCGUGCCAGCAGCCGCGGUAAUACGAAGGACCCGAGCGUUAUCCGGAUUUAUUGGGUUUAAAGGGUGCGUAGGCGGAUUAGUAAGUCAGUGGUGAAAGCCCGUCGCUCAACGGCGGAACUGCCAUUGAUACUGCUAGUCUUGAGUAUGGUUGAGGUGGGCGGAAUGUGUCAUGUAGCGGUGAAAUGCUUAGAUAUGACCCAGAACACCAAUUGCGAAGGCAGCUCGCUAAGCCAUAACUGACGCUGAUGCACGAAAGCGUGGGGAGCAAACAGGAUUAGAUACCCCGGUAGC